CUACUGCGAAAUGUGGAAAAUUUGGAAAACGAAGUAUUAAAAGUGAGAGAAUUCUAGAAAUUUACACAAACUGAGAUUGUGCGAGACCUCCUUCGCGGUCAGCCCAACAAAAACGACUCUUUCUCUCUCUCUCUCUCAUUGUCUUUUUCCGAGUUUACAACUACAAUGGCGUCGCCUUCCGAUCCCUCCAACCAGCUGCUGCUAGGAAACAAACAAAGGAUCCCCUUUGAAAUUUCUGUUUCCCCUAAUUUAUGCUCCUGUUCUUCCUCUUAUUCGAAUUCAAUUGCGACAUAACCCUGUUUUGAGGGACCGUUUGUUCACUGCUGUGCUUGCUGGGGCAUUUGCUCAUGGCUUUUACUUGAUAUCAGAUCUCUAUGAUAUUGAGAGCAAAUGAACCUGCAGAUGGUGGCUCGUGAUAUCCAUGGCUUACAGCUAUUCUGAAACAUCUUCCAGUUUCCAGAUAUCAUAUGCAGCUUGAUACUCCGGUUACAACUUGAAAAGCUCAAGACAGAUUUGAGGGUUAAUAGUUUUCUCAUUCCUUUUCUUGUGGACCAAUAACUAUGCUUUAUAUUACCUAGAAAUGAAAUAAUUACCCUAUCAUGAAGCUGCUUUUGCUAA